UGGGGAAUAUUGGACAAUGGGGGCAACCCUGAUCCAGCCAUGCCGCGUGAGUGAUGACGGCCUUAGGGUUGUAAAGCUCUUUCGUCAGGGGCGAUAAUGACGGUACCUGAAGAAGAAGCCCCGGCUAACUUCGUGCCAGCAGCCGCGGUAAUACGAAGGGGGCUAGCGUUGUUCGGAAUUACUGGGCGUAAAGGGCGCGUAGGCUGUGCUGUAAGUCAGGCGUGAAAGCCCCGGGCUCAACCUGGGAAUUGCGCUUGAUACUGCGGCGCUGGAAGGUGGGAGAGGAUGGCGGAAUUCCCAGUGUAGAGGUGAAAUUCGUAGAUAUUGGGAAGAACACCGGUGGCGAAGGCGGCCAUCUGGCCCACAUUUGACGCUGAGGCGCGAAAGCGUGGGGAGCAAACAGGAUUAGAUACCCUGGUAGUCCACGCUGUAAACGAUGAGUGCUAGACGUCGGGGAGCUUGCUCUUCGGUGUCGCCGCUAACGCAUUAAGCACUCCGCCUGGGGAGUACGGUCGCAAGAUUA
rnacentral:rRNA from 1 species